AGAUGUUUUGUUCACUAUAUAAUUAUGUUCAAUGGAAAGCGUAAUGGACUGGAAAGGAGGUUAAUUUGAUUAGAUUUCGCAUUUUAUUGGUAAUUAACUGAAGGUUUCAGAUGGGCAUGAUUGUUAAAAAAGAACGAAAGAACAAAAAACAAUAUUGAUAGCUGUAAACGCAUGUCAGGACUAAAAUAAACAAAAGCAACAUUACUGAAAUGAUGCAAUUAGUCAUCAGUGACAGCAACUCAUUACUCUAAUGGGACAAUCAGGGCGCUAGUGACUGUUUAAUAAUGGGACAACCAUGGACGCAAGUGUCUGUUUAAUCUAAAUGAUUUCCUCGUAGUUAAAAACACAAUAAGUUUGUUUGAUUAGACAAGCUCACUUUGUGCACCUCGGUGAUCACAUUAUCACAACAUACACUUCAUGAUAUUUGCAUAAAAAGGACAUUUUUAUCUUCUACAUAUCCUCUGCCCUGUCUUUCGCCCUCCCUUUUUCUUUCUGUGUCUACGUAUCUCUCAUAUCUAUGUGUUUUUGCAGCAUAAUAAAACAUACUCAUAGGGGAGAGACACAAAUAAGACAAAGUUUCAGUCUAAUUAAUAUGGAAGGCUUGGUGGCACAUCAGCUCUUCCCGAGUCUGCUUUGACUUUCUCUAUGUCAGUCCUUCCAACAGGAAGUUAAUGAUCCUGGCAACAAGAUGAAUCACUCCAGACAUGGUGCAGAGCAGUUCUGACAAGCCAGCGAGAUGGCUCCUGACACCUGCAUGUUAACUCACCUAUCAAUAAGAAACAAAGCAACCUCGGUGUCCGAUUCCAGGCCUUCCCGCUCCUUGAGUUUCUCCACCGCUGAAAAGUUGCUCCAAUAUUUACAUGGGUCCUACAUCUUGCCUGAUCGUAUCCCUUUUUUUUAAUGUUUUAUUCCUCCUAAAUUUUCAUUGUUUUUUAUGUGCCAUCUAUCGCUUUAUUUGAUCUGCUAAUAUCCGUCCUGUGCACUCACUGAGCGAUCUCUUCUCCC
ensembl:lncRNA